GAGGCAUUUUAGAAACAGUAGAAAAAGUCAGUAACCCAGAUUUCUCUGUGGCUCUGACUUUCCAGCAGUCGAGGGAGCCUCCACGCCCGCUCACACCUUGCCUACACCAUCGCACACUUGCUCAAGAGAGAAGGAAGCCCUUGAUUCCUGGUGGCAAGGGGCAGCUGAAGGUUACAUAGAGCUCAGCUGUGAAACCAUCUGUUCCUGGUGCCUUUUGUGAUGGUGGAUCUUUAACCACCUUUCCAGUCUCCCUGUGGUAGGUAAUUGGUCUUCUCAUUUUCUAAAUUUCCUUAGGUCAAUU
rnacentral:lncRNA from 1 species